CCUACGGGAGGCAGCAGUAGGGAAUAUUGCUCAAUGGGGGAAACCCUGAAGCAGCAACGCCGCGUGGAGGAUGAAGGUUUUCGGAUUGUAAACUCCUUUUGUUAGAGACGAUAAUGACGGUAUCUACCGACUCAUCACCGGCUACCUCCGUCCCAGCAGCCGCGGUAAUACGGAGGGUGCAAGCGUUACUCGGAAUCACUGGGCGUAAAGCGCGCGUAGGCGGGAGAGCAAGUCAGAUGUGAAAUCCUAUGGCUUAACCAUAGAACUGCAUGUGAAACUGGUAUUCUAGAGUAUGGGAGAGGUAGGUGGAAUUCUUGGUGUAGGGGUAAAAUCCGUAGAGAUCAAGAGGAAUACUCAUUGCGAAGGCGACCUGCUAGAACGUAACUGACGCUGAUGCGCGAAAGCGUGGGGAGCAAACAGGAUUAGAUACCCGAGUAGUC
rnacentral:rRNA from 1 species